rnacentral:tRNA from 1 species
GGUGGCUCAGUGGUAGAGUGCUUGUCUUGCCUGCAUGAGGCCCUGGGUUCGAUUCCCCAGCACCG